UGUUAGCGGCGGACGGGUGAGUAACACGUGGAUAACCUACCUAUAAGACUGGGAUAACUUCGGGAAACCGGAGCUAAUACCGGAUAAUAUUUUGAACCGCAUGGUUCAAAAGUGAAAGACGGUCUUGCUGUCACUUAUAGAUGGAUCCGCGCUGCAUUAGCUAGUUGGUAAGGUAACGGCUUACCAAGGCAACGAUGCAUAGCCGACCUGAGAGGGUGAUCGGCCACACUGGAACUGAGACACGGUCCAGACUCCUACGGGAGGCAGCAGUAGGGAAUCUUCCGCAAUGGGCGAAAGCCUGACGGAGCAACGCCGCGUGAGUGAUGAAGGUCUUCGGAUCGUAAAACUCUGUUAUUAGGGAAGAACAUAUGUGUAAGUAACUGUGCACAUCUUGACGGUACCUAAUCAGAAAGCCACGGCUAACUACGUGCCAGCAGCCGCGGUAAUACGUAGGUGGCAAGCGUUAUCCGGAAUUAUUGGGCGUAAAGCGCGCGUAGGCGGUUUUUUAAGUCUGAUGUGAAAGCCCACGGCUCAACCGUGGAGGGUCAUUGGAAACUGGAAAACUUGAGUGCAGAAGAGGAAAGUGGAAUUCCAUGUGUAGCGGUGAAAUGCGCAGAGAUAUGGAGGAACACCAGUGGCGAAGGCGACUUUCUGGUCUGUAACUGACGCUGAUGUGCGAAAGCGUGGGGAUCAAACAGGAUUAGAUACCCUGGUAGUCCACGCCGUAAACGAUGAGUGCUAAGUGUUAGGGGGUUUCCGCCCCUUAGUGCUGCAGCUAACGCAUUAAGCACUCCGCCUGGGGAGUACGACCGCAAGGUUGAAACUCAAAGGAAUUGACGGGGACCCGCACAAGCGGUGGAGCAUGUGGUUUAAUUCGAAGCAACGCGAAGAACCUUACCAAAUCUUGACAUCCUUUGACAACUCUAGAGAUAGAGCUUUCCCCUUCGGGGGACAAAGUGACAGGUGGUGCAUGGUUGUCGUCAGCUCGUGUCGUGAGAUGUUGGGUUAAGUCCCGCAACGAGCGCAA
rnacentral:rRNA from 1 species